GGGCUCGCUUCGGCAGCACAUAUACUAAAAUUAGGAUACAGAGAUAAGCAUGGCCACUGCGCAAGGAUGACACCCAAACUCAUGAAGUGUUCUGUAUUAAA
rnacentral:snRNA from 1 species